rnacentral:rRNA from 1 species
GACGAACGCUGGCGGCGUGCUUAACACAUGCCAGUCGAACGGAAAGGCCCUGCUUUUGUGGGGUGCUCGAGUGGCGAACGGGUGAGUAACACGUGAGUAACCUGCCCUUGACUUUGGGAUAACUUCAGGAAACUGGGGCUAAUACCGGAUAGGAGCUCCUGCUGCAUGGUGGGGGUUGGAAAGUUUCGGCGGUUGGGGAUGGACUCGCGGCUUAUCAGCUUGUUGGUGGGGUAGUGGCUUACCAAGGCUUUGACGGGUAGCCGGCCUGAGAGGGUGACCGGCGAUGGAGAGAGGGAGAUCGGGCCCGGGAGCAGAGGGGGGGCGGGAGAGGGGAAGAUGGAGCGAUGGGGGGAGGGCGUAGGAAGAGACGCGGCGGGGGGGAUGAGGGCCUUCGGGUUGCAAACCGGUGCCGCCGGGGACGAGGGGUGAGGGAGGAGAAUGGGAAAAGAAGCAGCGGAUAACGCCGUGCCAGCAGCAGGGGUAACAGUAGGAAGAGCACACGUCCGACC